AUUCCUGUACUUGGUGUUACUGCGAAGGGGGGACGGAGAAGGCUAUGUUAGCCGGGCGACGGUUGUCCCGGUUUAAGCAUGUAGGCUGGUUGUCCAGGCAAAUCCGGAUAAUCAAGGCUGAGGUGUGAUGACGAGGCACUACGGUGCUGAAGUAACAAAUGCCCUGCUUCCAGGAAAAGCCUCUAAGCAUCAGGUAACAUCAAAUCGUACCCCAAACCGACACAGGUGGUCAGGUAGAGAAUACCAAGG
rnacentral:rRNA from 1 species